rnacentral:rRNA from 1 species
UUGAACGCUGGCGGCAUGCCUUACACAUGCAAGUCGAACGGCAGCACGGGGGCAACCCUGGUGGCGAGUGGCGAACGGGUGAGUAAUGCAUUGGAACGUGCCCUGAAGUGGGGGAUAACGUAGCGAAAGUUACGCUAAUACCGCAUAUUCUGUGAGCAGGAAAGCAGGGGAUCGCAAGACCUUGCGCUUUAGGAGCGGCCGAUGUCGGAUUAGCUAGUUGGUGAGGUAAAAGCUCACCAAGGCGACGAUCCGUAGCGGGUCUGAGAGGAUGAUCCGCCACACUGGGACUGAGACACGGCCCAGACUCCUACGGGAGGCAGCAGUGGGGAAUUUUGGACAAUGGGGGCAACCCUGAUCCAGCCAUGCCGCGUGAGUGAAGAAGGCCUUCGGGUUGUAAAGCUCUUUCGGCGGGGAAGAAGCGUGAGUGACGGUACCUGCAGAAGAAGCACCGGCUAACUACGU